GGUGACUCAGUGGUAGAGUGCUUGCCUUGAAUGCAUGUUGCCCUGGGUUCGAUUCCUCAGCACCA
rnacentral:tRNA from 1 species